UAACACAUGCAAGUCGAACGGAAAGGCCCUGCUUUUGUGGGGUGCUCGAGUGGCGAACGGGUGAGUAACACGUGAGUAACCUGCCCUUGACUUUGGGAUAACUUCAGGAAACUGGGGCUAAUACCGGAUAGGAGCUCCUGCUGCAUGGUGGGGGUUGGAAAGUUUCGGCGGUUGGGGAUGGACUCGCGGCUUAUCAGCUUGUUGGUGGGGUAGUGGCUUACCAAGGCUUUGACGGGUAGCCGGCCUGAGAGGGUGACCGGCCACAUUGGGACUGAGAUACGGCCCAGACUCCUACGGGAGGCAGCAGUGGGGAAUAUUGCACAAUGGGCGGAAGCCUGCUGCAGCAACGCCGCGUGCGGGAUGACGGCCUUCGGGUUGUAAACCGCUUUCGCCUGUGACGAAGCGUGAGUGACGGUAAUGGGUAAAGAAGCACCGGCUAACUACGUGCCAGCAGCCGCGGUGAUACGUAGGGUGCGAGCGUUGUCCGGAUUUAUUGGGCGUAAAGGGCUCGUAGGUGGUUGAUCGCGUCGGAAGUGUAAUCUUGGGGCUUAACCCUGAGCGUGCUUUCGAUACGGGUUGACUUGAGGAAGGUAGGGGAGAAUGGAAUUCCUGGUGGAGCGGUGGAAUGCGCAGAUAUCAGGAGGAACACCAGUGGCGAAGGCGGUUCUCUGGGCCUUUCCUGACGCUGAGGAGCGAAAGCGUGGGGAGCGAACAGGCUUAGAUACCCUGGUAGUCCACGCUGUAAACGGUGGGUACUAGGUGUGGGGUCAUUCCACGGGUUCCGUGCCGUAGCUACGCUUCAAGUACCCCGCUGGGGAGUACGGCGCAGGCUAAACUCAAAGGAAUUGACGGGGCCCGCACAAGCGGCGGAGCAUGCGGAUUAAUUCGAUGCAACGCGUAGAACCUUACCUGGGUUUGACAUGGAUCGGAAGUGCUCAGAGAUGGGUGUGCCUCUUUUGGGGUCGGUUCACAGGUGGUGCAUGGCUGUCGUCAGCUCGUGUCGUGAGAUGUUGGGUUAAGUCCCGCAACGAGCGCAACCCUUGUUCACUGUUGCCAGCACGUUAUGGUGGGGACUCAGUGGAGACCGCCGGGGUCAACUCGGAGGAAGGUGGGGAUGACGUCAAGUCAUCAUGCCCCUUAUGUCCAGGGCUUCACGCAUGCUACAAUGGCUGGUACAGAGAGUGGCGAGCCUGUGAGGGUGAGCGAAUCUCGGAAAGCCGGUCUCAGUUCGGAUUGGGGUCUGCAACUCGACCUCAUGAAGUCGGAGUCGCUAGUAAUCGCAGAUCAGCAACGCUGCGGUGAAUACGUUCCCGGGCCUUGUACACACCGCCC
rnacentral:rRNA from 1 species